AACAAGGCGUACCUGCGGACCUGCGGAGGGAUCAUUAACAAAAUUAUCCAUCAUCUUUCUUCAUAUGGAUGAUUUUAAAAAAUCCAUAUCCACCUCAUGUGCACCUUACUGAUAUGUUUGACUUUGGCAGUUUUACAGAAGCAUAUAUUCUUCUGGUUUUAAAAGGAGGGAAGAGAAAGGAGAGAGAAGCGGAAAAGUUUUAUCAAUUUUUUCUUUUCUUUUCUUUUUUCCAUUUACCUU
rnacentral:misc_RNA from 1 species